AAAAAAAGACCCACAUGCCACACUGUUCCCCUCUCUGUCUUGUCUCCUUCCUCUAGAGAGGACUGGUCACUGUUUUUCCCCACCGCAAGCGCUGCUCCGGCCAAAUCCGGUCAGCUUGUACUGCUCCGGCGAUGCCCUCCCUUCGUAGGCUCACCUCUUUGCGCUGCUUCUUAUCCAUCCGCGUGCCCCCAUGGCUUCUACCGGCUGCUGCAAUGAAUGGUCGGGGGAUGAAGGUGCCGCGCGAAUCCACCUGAGACGCUGCUGCCGCACAACGGCGAGCUCAACGAGCCCGACGACGACGGCAAGCUGGAGGCUCAUACCGGCGGGCUCGAUAAGGAAUACGAGGACGGCGACUCCCAGAGUAGCCCGAGCGACCUGGAAGCGGAGGAGGGUAGCAGCCAUAGGAGGGGUGGUCUACGCCAUAGGAGGGUAGCAGCCAGAGGACGGCGAUUCUCAUAUGCCUGGGCCGCCGGCCCGCCGCGCUGCGACGCCCUCCACGAUGGGCGCCCCAAGAUUCUUCGACCGCAGGAGGCGUCUGACGGCAGCGGCGUGUCUCCGGCCAAAUCCGGUCAAAUCCACUGGGAAAACAGUGGCAGCGGCGCGGCAGCUGGACCUCGCAGCACUCCUGCCCGGCCAAGCGACAAGCCCCAAUAGCAGAAGAACCCAAUGGUCGUCGCGCAGGAGCUUUCUUGAUGUUAGAAGAGUGAAAGCAGAGCAAGGGAGAGCAUGUGAUUGUUUGAUAAUCCGUUAAUUCUUCACGGCCAUAUGAUGCUGUCCAACCAAGUUUGUGUUUCCACAUUGCUUCUUAUGGACUUGAAAGCGUCUUCAAAGGCUUCCUCUUCCUCAUACUUGUACAUGCAAGCACUGAAAUCAGCAAGUACAUUUGGUCCAUCCUCGUCUUUUUUCUUAUGAGGAACGUGUUGAACAACCAUUUGAAUGAUUCAAAUGUCUCAUCAUAUAAAAGUGCAGCACCAAAAAUGACCAUUUCUCUGAAAUGGUUGAAGCCAACAAACACACCAAAGGGUCUGUACUCUUUGUUUGUCCCAAAUGUUGUAUCGAAGGUAACAACAUCACCGAAAUGAGCAUAGUCAAUUAUCAUCCUUGCAUCAGCCCAGAAGAUAGUUGCUAUAUUUUCAUCGCAAUCUAGUUGCAUGUCAUAUUCAAAUGCAGGAUUCUCAUUCUUUUUAUCUCUAAAAUACUUGAGCAUACUUCCAGCUUCACCAUACAUCAGGUCCCUUUGUCGCUUGGUUCGCAAGUGGUUCUUGCGAUCACGAGAUGUGUAGCCAAGGUUUAGUGGACCACCAACUUGUCGACUUGCUAGCUCAUGGGCUUUUCUAGGUACAAUUCCUGAAUCAUCUGUUGUUUCAAUUUCAAAUGCUUGCAAGGCCGAAAUCUUCCUCUGUGAUGGCAUCAAGUGGCUUGUCCCAGGUAAUUGCAAGACAUGGUUGUGUUCAACAACUAACUCAUGCACCUCAUAAUUUCCUGCUUCUCGGUCUAUAGUAAUUCCCAUUCGAACAUUGCAGCCGGUCCUUGUUUCUGCACGAGGACGCUUUGUACUAUUAUCCCUUUUGUCUUUUCUUCUGUAGCCCUCAUUGGAACAAACAUAUCUUGCUGAAGUGAUUACUCCAUCGAGUUUGCUCUUGUUUUCAUAAUUUAUCCUUACAUCAAAACCAAUAUGACCUCCAUAACAUGUCCAAAAGUUCCAAGCCUCUUUUGUGGAAUUGAAUUUCAUACCAAUCCGAGGCAUCCAACUAGGAACCACAUUUUUCCUAUAAAAAUUACACAUAAAUUAUUUGUUUGUAUGUUUACACUACAAUCAUAAGGUGAUAUGACCUGAGAAUUUAACAAAACUGUCGGUACCUGUUAGCAUCCUCAUUAGAGCUAGUCAUAUUCUCCAUUAGACUUUCUCUUCUUUUUUGUUGCUAGGAGAAGGACAACAAAAGGGAGAUCAUCUGCAUUAAUCUCCUGUAAUGUUUUGGAAAUCCCAGAAGAAGGAAGGCAAAAGGGAGAUAAUCUUCAUCGCCUAUGGAUCAGCUUGCCUUGGUUUCGCUCUGAACAUGGAGGAUGAUCAGAAGAAAGAUAGGGCAAAAGGGAGUUGAUCUGCGCUAGGGUUCGGCUCCUUAUCUUGCCUUGGUUGCGCUCUGAACACGAAGGACGAUCAGAAGAAAGAUAGGGCAAAAGGGAGUUGAUCUGCGCCAGGGUUCGGCUCCUUAUCUUGCCUUGGUUGCGCUCUGAACACGAAGGGCGAUCAAAAGAAAGAUAGGGCAAAAGGGAGUUGAUCUGCGCCAGGGUUCGGCUCCUUAGCUUGCCUUGGUUGCGCUCUGAACAUGGAGGACGAUCAGAAGAAAGAUAGGGCAAAAGGAGGAACGAGGAAGAUGAGCGGGACAAAUGCAAAGAGGUCGCUGUUUGGCGCCAAGGUGAUUAUCAGGGUGUGUUUUGUUUGGCGCCAAUGUGAGUAUCUUCGUGGUUCUGUUUGGCGGCAAUCCUGCAGCCGUAGGAGAUUUUGUACCACAUAAUUAGCUGUUUGUUUCCAUUUAUUAACAGAAUCAAGUGGGGGUAGCGAGAGUCGUCAGAUUUGGACGGCUAAUGUGAGUUGGUACAGUACCCGUGCAGUAAUAACGUGACUGCAGAGGAGCCGAACCCUAGUCAUAGUGGGAGUAACUUAGAUAGUAACAUAAUACAUCCCAAGAUAAAUUUGCUUAUGUGGCAUGGAGUUAAUGAGGAGAGAGCUGAUUGUGGUAACAUAAUAUGUUACUGUAACAUAACACACCCCAAGGUAAAAUGAGUCUAUAUCUCAA